rnacentral:rRNA from 1 species
CACGGCCCCACUCUACGGGAGGCAGCAGUUAGGAAUCUUCCGCAAUGGGCGCAAGCUGACGGAGCGACGCCGCUUGGAGGAGGAAGCCCUUCGGGGUGUAAACUCCUGAACCCGGGACGAAGCCCCCGAUGAGGGGACUGACGGUACCGGGGUAAUAGCGCCGGCCAACUCCGUGCCAGCAGCCGCGGUAAUACGGAGGGCGCGAGCGUUACCCGGAUUUACUGGGCGUAAAGGGCGUGUAGGCGGCUUGGGGCGUCCCAUGUGAAAGGCCACGGCUCAACUGUGGAGGAGCGUGGGAUACGCUCAGGCUAGACGGUGGGAGAGGGUGGUGGAAUUCCCGGAGUAGCGGUGAAAUGCGCAGAUACCGGGAGGAACGCCGAUGGCGAAGGCAGCCACCUGGCCCACUUGUGACGCUGAGGCGCGAAAGCGUGGGGAGCAAACCGGAUUAGAUACCCGGGUAGUCCACGCCCUAAACGAUGCGCGCUAGGUCUCUGGGUUAUCUGGGGGCCGAAGCCAACGCGUUAAGCGCGCCGCCUGGGGAGUACGGCCGCAAGGCUGAAACUCAAAGGAAUUGACGGGGGCCCGCACAAGCGGUGGAGCAUGUGGUUUAAUUCGAAGCAACGCGAAGAACCUUACUAGGCCUUGACAUGCUAGGGAACCUGGGUGAAAGCCUGGGGUGCCCCGCGAGGGGAGCCCUAGCACAGGUGCUGCAUGGCCGUCGUCAGCUCGUGUCGUGAGAUGUUGGGUUAAGUCCCGCAACGAGCGCAACCCCUGCCGUUAGUUGCCAGCGGGUGAAGCCGGGCACUCUAACGGGACUGCCUGCGAAAGCAGGAGGAAGGCGGGGACGACGUCUGGUCAUCAUGGCCCUUAAGGCCUGGGCGACACACGUGCUACAAUGCCCACUACAGAGCGAGGCGACCUGGCAACAGGGAGCGAAUCGCAAAAAGGUGGGCGUAGUUCGGAUUGGGGUCUGCAACCCGACCCCAUGAAGCCGGAAUCGCUAGUAAUCGCGGAUCAGCCAUGCCGCGGUGAAUACGUUCCCGGGCCUU